UACGUAGGGGGCAAGCGUUGUCCGGAAUUAUUGGGCGUAAAGAGCGUGUAGGCGGUCCGAUAAGUCGGCUGUGAAAGUCCAGGGCUCAACCCUGGGAUGCCGGUCGAUACUGUCGGACUAGAGUUCGGAAGAGGCGAGUGGAAUUCCUGGUGUAGCGGUGAAAUGCGCAGAUAUCAGGAGGAACACCAAUUGCGAAGGCAGCUCGCUGGGACGUAACUGACGCUGAGACGCGAAAGCGUGGGGAGCAAACAGG
rnacentral:rRNA from 1 species